CCGUGAAAGUCCGGGGCUUAACCCCGGAUCUGCGGUGGGUACGGGCAGACUAGAGUGAUGUAGGGGAGACUGGAAUUCCUGGUGUAGCGGUGAAAUGCGCAGAUAUCAGGAGGAACACCGAUGGCGAAGGCAGGUCUCUGGGCAUUAACUGACGCUGAGGAGCGAAAGCAUGGGGAGCGAACAGGAUUAGAUACCCUGGUAGUCCAUGCCGUAAACGUUGGGCACUAGGUGUGGGGGACAUUCCACGUUUUCCGCGCCGUAGCUAACGCAUUAAGUGCCCCGCCUGGGGAGUACGGCCGCAAGGCUAAAACUCAAAGGAAUUGACGGGGGCCCGCACAAGCGGCGGAGCAUGCGGAUUAAUUCGAUGCAACGCGAAGAACCUUACCAAGGCUUGACAUGAACUGGAACAGCGCAGAGAUGUGUUGGCCGCUUGCGGCCGGUUUACAGGUGGUGCAUGGUUGUCGUCAGCUCGUGUCGUGAGAUGUUGGGUUAAGUCCCGCAACGAGCGCAACCCUCGUUCUAUGUUGCCAGCGCGUUAUGGCGGGGACUCAUAGGAGACUGCCGGGGUCAACUCGGAGGAAGGUGGGGACGACGUCAAAUCAUCAUGCCCCUUAUGUCUUGGGCUUCACGCAUGCUACAAUGGCCGGUACAAAGGGUUGCGAUACUGUGAGGUGGAGCUAAUCCCAAAAAGCCGGUCUCAGUUCGGAUUGAGGUCUGCAACUCGACCUCAUGAAGUCGGAGUCGCUAGUAAUCGCAGAUCAGCAACGCUGCGGUGAAUACGUUCCCGGGCCUUGUACACACCGCCCGUCAAGUCACGAAAGUUGGUAACACCCGAAGCCGGUGGCCUAACCCC
rnacentral:rRNA from 1 species